AUCUAGCAAGCUAAAAAGUUUUGCAAUAUCUUUGACGUGUGCCACUAAAUCAAUCAUUAAGAGACAAGUUAUCAAAAACCAGUGCUACAGUUGUACAAAUUUUUCCAAAGAAAGGACAAAUCAAAAAAUAAAAUAAAAUCAGCGACAAAAUGCAGUGUUUAUUCCUCCAAGUUUACGAGUUUCUUCUGUUCGCAGAUAAGAAGACUGCAGUCCCCGAGGAGACGUAUUCAGAGAGGGUGUAGCUUAUUUGUUGUAAUAUCUGCCGCAAUUCCGGCCUUCACAACUUCUUACGUUAAUUAAAUCUUAACCUCACAAGUUGCAGAGUUGUGUAGUUGUGGUGACAGUCGUCAAACGUUUGCUAAAUUGUAACGAGUUUAAACUCGUCUGUUUCAUACACAUAAAUGCGUAAGGACGUCUAUUUCGCAUAUCAUUCGUGACAGACGUUCGCUCGCAUCCUUAUUACAAUGGAAUAUAUGGUGUGUCAAGUUGAGACGCUUUUGUGGCCUCCCUCACACGCUUGCUUCCAACUGAUGUGUCUAAUUCAGGCUCGGCUUUUUACCGAAUUCAUUCACUCAGACGGCUCUUUAAUUACGAUUUGCCAUUGUUUUUCUAAACAAGACUGCGUCUGCCACGAAUUUCAUUUAAAUAUUUCAUUUUUAGUUAAGUGCAAUUAUGGUGGAGGCGCCGGGCGAAAAAUUGUACUUGUAAAAAUUGGGAAGGGCUUCCAGCGCGAGUGUUGGCAUCCUGUCCGUGUAUCCUUUAAUGAUCUGUAGUAAUCAGGCUGAGGGCGUAUAAGCUGGACCUUUUCAGGGGCCAUCGGUGGUGCAUAUUGAUGUUGAUUAGCGUUGAAGGGUUAGUGAGGAAGGCGUGUGGCAUUUCGCAGCUACAGAGGCUUUUGUGCGAGGAGACCUAAUGAACUGCAGGCCACCCGGCUGGGAGGACUAAUGUAUGCAUCAUGCACUGGGUUUAGCUCAACCGAACGAUUGCCUUAUUGAAAAAGUUUGCAAUAAUCUAGCAAAAAAAUUUCCUCUAUCCUCAACACCACUGCUAAUUAUUCAUUAAUAAAAAUUGUGAAAAACAGAAAUUAGGUAUUA